rnacentral:sRNA from 1 species
CCUCUGCCUCAGAACUUUGAGACAAUGGCUCUCUCUCUGUUCCCCUUCCCAGACCACAAAUAACAGCACAUCAAGGCAUCUGAAAGGCUGUCACCCGGUUGACUAUGAGCUCACCUACUUCCUGGAAGCCGCCCUCCAGAGCGCCUAUGUGAAAAACCUGAAGAAGGGGAACAUCGUGAAGGGCAUGAGAGAGCUCCGGGAGGUGCUGCGGACUGUGGAGACCAAAGCAACUCAGAACUUUAAAGUGAUGGCGGCCAAGCACCUGGCGGGGGUCUUGCUGCACUCCCUGAGUGAGGAGUGCUACUGGAGCCCCCUGUCCCACCCUCUGCCUGAGUUCAUGGGCAAGGAGGAGAGUUCUUUCGCCACGCAGGCCCUGCGGAAACCUCACCUCUAUGAAGGAGACAACCUCUACUGCCCCAAGGACAACAUCGAGGAAGCCCUCCUGCUCCUCCUCAUCAGCGAAUCCAUGGCAACUCGAGAUGUGGUGCUGAGCCGGGUGCCGGAGCAGGAGGAGGACCGGACAGUGAGCUUGCAGAAUGCCGCAGCCAUCUAUGACCUCCUGAGCAUCACGUUGGGCAGAAGGGGACAGUACGUCAUGCUCUCGGAGUGCCUGGAGCGAGCCAUGAAGUUUGCAUUUGGAGAAUUUCACCUUUGGUACCAGGUGGCCCUCUCCAUGGUGGCUUGUGGGAAGUCAGCCUACGGUGUGUCCCUGCUGCGGGAGUGUGUGAAGUUGCGGCCCUCGGACCCCACCGUGCCCCUGAUGGCCGCAAAGGUCUGCAUCGGGUCCCUUCACUGGCUAGAGGAAGCAGAGCGCUUUGCCAUGAUGGUGAUCAGCCUUGGAGAGGAAGCCGGGGAGUUCCUCCCCAAGGGCUACCUGGCUCUGGGUCUCACCUAUAGCCUGCAGGCCACCGACGCCACCCUGAAGUCCAAGCAAGAUGAAUUGCACCGGAAGGCACUGCAGACGCUGGAGAGGGCUCAGCAGCUGGCGCCCAGUGACCCCCAGGUCAUCCUCUAUGUCUCGCUGCAGCUGGCCCUCGUCCGACAGAUCUCCAGUGCCAUGGAGCAGCUGCAGGAGGCCCUGAAGGUAUGCAAGGAUGAUGCCCACGCCCUCCACCUGCUGGCACUGCUCUUCUCUGCCCAGAAGCACCACCAGCAUGCCCUGGAUGUUGUCAACAUGGCCAUCACCGAGCACCCUGAGAACUUCAACUUGAUGUUCACCAAGGUGAAGCUGGAGCAGGUGCUGAAAGGCCCAGAGGAAGCCCUCGUGACCUGCAGACAAAUGCUGCGGCUGUGGCAGACCCUGUACAGCUUCUCCCAGCUGGGAGGCCUGGAAAAGGAUGGCAGCUUCGGUGAGGGCCUCACCGUGAAGAAGCAGAGUGGCAUGCACCUGACUUUGCCUGAUGCCCAUGAUGCAGACUCUGGCUCCCGGCGGGCUUCGUCCAUCGCAGCCUCCCGGCUGGAGGAGGCCAUGUCAGAGCUGACUAUGCCCUCUUCGGUCCUGAAGCAGGGCCCCGUGCAGCUGUGGACCACGCUGGAACAGAUCUGGCUGCAGGCUGCUGAGCUGUUCAUGGAGCAGCAGCACCUCAAGGAAGCAGGUUUCUGCAUCCAGGAGGCGGCGGGACUCUUCCCCACUUCUCACUCAGUACUCUAUAUGCGGGGCCGGCUGGCUGAGGUGAAGGGCAGCCUGGAGGAGGCCAAGCAGCUGUACAAGGAGGCGCUGACGGUGAACCCAGAUGGCGUGCGCAUCAUGCAUAGCCUGGGUCUGAUGCUGAGUCGGCUGGGCCACAAGAGCUUGGCCCAGAAGGUGCUUCGUGAUGCCGUGGAGAGGCAGAGUACGUGCCACGAGGCAUGGCAGGGCCUGGGAGAGGUGCUGCAGGCCCAGGGCCAGAACGAGGCUGCCGUUGACUGCUUCCUCACCGCCCUUGAGCUGGAGGCCAGCAGCCCUGUGCUGCCCUUCUCCAUCAUCCCCAGAGAGCUCUGACGAUGCUGCAGCCGCAGGGAGGGAGGGGCCGGCCAGAGGGAGAGGCAGCAGGGAGCGUGGGUCAGGGUGGGGCAACAGUGGCAUCAGGUGCGGGGCCUCAGGGAAAUACAUCUUUAGUGAACGCCUCCGCAGCUGCAGCCCUCGUUCUCCUGGCUGGGCCAAGAGGGUCUUCUGGAUUUCUUUGUUGGUGCCUUGGGAAACAGUCUGACUUGAACCCUAAGUGCCUUUGCAGAGUUUUGUGGUGACCAGACUUGCUCCCCAAGAGCUGGGCAGCGGGGAGCCUCACAGCUGUCCUUCACCCUCACCCAUGCCUCUGGCUUGGGGUCUGGAGGGGUCUCACUCCCCACUCUCAGCACAGCACAGACUUCUGGAUCUCUCUCAGGUCUUGCCCAGGGCAGUCACAAUGUGAAGAAACUGUGGGCAAGUGGGAAGACUGUAAGAUUUCUGGGUUCCCUUCUCAGACUUGGAGUUAGUAGAUGAUGCUGCAUUGCCCCUCCUUGCCCCUCCUUGCCCCCUGAGACCAGCUGGGCCCCACCUUGCUCUUUCCCCCUGCUACCAAGUGCCUUUGGGGCCUCUGGGGUCUGACCAGGGGUACUGAGCACUAGCCCUAACGCUUCCAUUUCCACCCACCCCAUCUCCCUGGAAAUGUGCUCCAGCCCAAGCAGCCUCCGUAGGCUUUAGAUCCUGUGGUUGCUAGAUCCAGUCCUUUCUAAUACCCUGAGUCAACACAUUACUCCUUCAGGUCCUAGGCUACAAUGCAGGUCCCUUGAGGGCCACCAACAUGGAGGUAGGCAGUUUCUAGGACUGUCCCCAGUACAUCUCACCACCCACAGCCCUUUUUUUGCCUCGAUUCGAGCCUCACCCUGGCCUUUUGGGUUCCCCUGCCUGAGAGAGACCUGAGGAGGGGACAGAGCCCAGCCCCUCUCCUGUGGCUGAGCAGACCUCUGUGUCCAUGACACCUGUUUUCCAGGCCUGGGGGCUGUGGGUGUCUGUCCUCCCUACUGGCUCCCCCGGCCCCUGCUGCAUGAUGCUCUUGGAACUCUUCCCCAAGGAGUCAGUCCCCCAGGCCUAUCAGGGAAUCCUUUUGUAUCUGUACUUUGGGUUUUAGUUUCAAAGUUCCAUCAGGUACAGCUUGCAUUUCAGGAUGUGUGGAAAGCUCGGGUGAGGGCUGCCCUGGUUCGUCAUAGCUCCACCUUCCUCGGAAGGAGUGGGCUGUUGGAGACCCUCCCCCAUCCAUGGCACACUAGCUCAGCACUGCAUGUCCCGAGGUGAUUCCCAAGACAGCUGGUGCCUCCUGGCUUUCCUGCUCCAGGCCAAGGGGCACCCCAGAGGACACUGGAUCCUUUGCCUCUUCUAGGUUGAAGGAUCUCUAUGUAUGUGUGUAUAUAAAUAUAGUUUUUUAUCUAUAUAUAUAAAAAAAAAUCUAUUUUUUUUCUGGAAUUCUGUUAGAAAAGUAAAGAAAACGCAAAUGCUGUUGGUUUAUCUCAGGGUGCCCAAAGAGGUUAUAGUCAAUUUUUGGUACUAGGAAAGGCACCCAAUGCAUUUCCUGACUUUUAAGCAUUUCCUUGUUGGAAGCAGCAGAGGGCCAGGCCAAGUUGCUGACAGUGACUUUGCAGGUUGAAUAAAGAGACCCUCGGAGGGGAAGCAGG